rnacentral:rRNA from 1 species
UACGUAGGGGGCGAGCGUUGUCCGGAAUUAUUGGGCGUAAAGAGCGUGUAGGCGGCUUGGUAAGUCUGCCGUGAAACCCCGGGGCUCAACCCCGGGCGUGCGGUGGAUACUGCCAGGCUAGAGGAUGGUAGAGGCGAGUGGAAUUCCCGGUGUAGCGGUGAAAUGCGCAGAUAUCGGGAGGAACACCUGCGGCGAAGGCGGUCCUCUGGGCCUGUCCUGACGCUGAGGAGCGAAAGCGU